rnacentral:misc_RNA from 1 species
GUGAAUCAUCGAAUUUUUGAACGCAAAUUGCACUCUCCGCGGUGAGUAUGCGUGUUUGUGGUUCAGCCUAUAAAAAAUCGACAUCGUUGCUGUUUCGCGGUGACGUCCGUCUUAAAUUGGGUCAUCUUAAAUCCUUUUGCUUUAAGCGUCUUAAGAUUUUCUUUUGGUUCCAUGAACGUUUUUAAGAUUUAUUUCUUUACACAUUUAAGGUAUCGAUUUUUACUAGACUUCACCCUCAUAUCGGAUCGCGUCC